CAGAACCAACCCCAUCUUUGUGUGCCUGCAUCCAAUUCUGAUGAGCCUAUGUAUGUCAGGUUGGUCAAGGCCCUUUGUGCUGAACACCAAAUCAACCUAAUUAAGGUUGAUGACAAGAAACUAGGGGAAUGAGUAGGCGACCUCUGUAAAAUUGACAGAGAGGGGAAACCCUGUAAAGUGGUUGGUUGCAGUUGUGUAGUAGUUAAGGACUAUGGCAAGGAGUCUCAGCCCAAGGAUGUCAUCAAAGAGUACUUCAAAUGCAAGAAAUGA
rnacentral:lncRNA from 1 species